CGACGCGCGGCAAAGGAAUGUUCGCGCGCAGUUGGGACGGGUGUGUAUAUAUUUCAGUUGGCUCGCGCGGCAGCAUACUUACAUGGAUAAUGAAAAGUGUCGUACUUUAAUUAAAUUAUACGGCACUAAACAGUUUCUCAUCAUCAUCAUCAUCAUCUCAGCCAUAAGACGUCCACUGCUGAACAUAGGCCUCCCCAUUUGGGGGGGUGAAUGCCAUAAUCGCCACGCUUGGCAGGCGGGUUGGCGAUCGCAGUCGAGUACACCGAAUUUGAGGGACGCUGCUGCCCGUCCACCGGUGGUCUUGGACGUAGUUUAAGGACAUACCCGGGUCCAAACAGUUUCUAUUGAACAGUAAAUGUAGUGAUUAUCGCAACAGAUCAUUUUUCUAUUUGGCUAGACUUCGUUCCGAAUAAUUAAUUUUUGUGAAAUAAUGUGGUCGAUCGUCGGAUCGCCUGCCGCGCGCGGCCGCCGCGCAUAAGUUCAAGAUGAUGCCGAAAUUGGCUCGCGAGCCAAAAUACAGGUGUGCCGCGGUCGAACAUUACUCGCGCGGCCGCCGCGCGAUAUCGAGACGGGCCUUUACAUCACCUUUCCAACUUUCGCGCUUCAGUACCCCUACUUGACACCAGAUGUCACAAGUGUAGCUACUGACGAAAAAUGUACUACUAAACCAAUUUACAACUAAUAUUAUAAGCAGAAGGGGUUGAAAAUAGACUUCCAGUAAAUCCGGUUAUAUUAGAAAAAUGUUAAGCAUUAGUUUCGUUCGCCAGGACAUAUAUUGUCAACUAGCAGUACUGAUACUACAUGACGCUAGAUGUUGACUACGAAAUAACGCGCGUUUUGGUAAGAACACUGAUGUAUGGAGUUACCAGUCUUUCUUUACUUAUAUUACUCUUGCUUUUUACACUUUUGUUUGGGGUUGGGGCUAGGUCGAUCUGUGUAAGAUGUCCCCAAAUUGGCGUACGACCCAUCCAUGGCUUAUAUCAUAAUAAUCUAUAAAACAUUAACCUAAGAACAAAUAAAAAACUGUUAGACAGCUAAAUAGUGAGCAUAUAAUUACUUCAUAAAAAUUAAAUAGGUUUUUAAAUAGAACAGAUUUUAUACAAUACUUCAAUUUACGUACACCAAUGGAAUUACAAUAGAUUAUACAAGUGUGGACAGUUACAGAAUAAAAGCUUUCAUUAUUUUGAUAGAAACUGACCCUUUCAGCCUAAAAAGUUACCACUUUUUCGAUUAAGACCAGAAAGUUAUUGACUGUAAAAGAGGUGAGGAGUCUAAGAAAAAAUUGUGCCCCGAGUUUUACAGCAGAACUAGAUGGCGCCAUGUUUAAUGGUAUUAGACCUCUCAAGCAUCAACUUUUGACAACCAGAACUACCUACCGCAUAGCAAGGGGCCGUCCAGUGACAAAUUAGAGACACAUUUUCCUAGACUCUAUACCUCUUCUAGUAUUCACAACUAUUUUGUUAACACUAAUAGGCAUGAAGACUAAUUAGAUAAUCACUUCCCUUACUGACAACAGACCAAUAAAGCGACCUUUCGACUGAAAAGUCCGAUUCUAUGAAUGAAUUUAUUGUGUAACCCACUUUAAAAUUCUAAUUCUAGAUCCAAGUAAGAGAAUUUUUAGAUUAAUAUUUCACACCAUUGGGCUGAAAAACAAAUUGGCCAUUUUCAUGAGGGAUUUUACACUGUGUCUAUAAAACAUCCAUAAGGUAGGGAUAAACCAGUUUUAAAGUGCGCGCCCCUACCAUAUUGUAUCUACGCCUAAACACCCAAAUAUAAUUUUAUAGACACAUCCCACAGUGCAAAAUUAUUAACUCUUUUUGUGUUUGCGUGUGUUCAAAACAUUACUAUAGAUCUAACUGUACUAUGGAAGGGCGUGCAUUCUAAAAAUGACUUAUGACAUUAAUUAUUUAAUAAAUCUUUUUAGAACAUGAAACAUAAAUCGACUAGACUAUGUAAUGUUGGUAUUUAUUCCAUAACAUUGUGCCUUAGGAUGGUAUAACAUUGUCAAAUAUUAUAUUACAACUAAUUAGUAAUCACUGGCACUGUCACACUUUUGUGAAUAGAAUCUAAUGUGAUCGUGUCAACUAUUUAUAUUGGCUGGCAAGUUUGCAGUGCACAAGUAAAAA